rnacentral:rRNA from 2 species
CGGCAAUGGAGGAAACUCUGACCGAGCAACGCCGCGUGAAUGACGAAGUACUUCGGUAUGUAAAGUUCUUUUAUCAAGGAAGAAAAGCAAAUGGCGAACCAUUUGUUUGCCGGUACUUGAUGAAUAAGCCCCGGCUAAUUAUGUGCCAGCAGCCGCGGUAAGACAUAAGGGGCAAGUGUUAUCCGGAAUUAUUGGGCGUAAAGGGUGCGUAGGCGGUCUAGUAAGUCAGUGGUGUAAUGGCAACGCUUAACGUUGUCCGGCUAUUGAAACUGCUAAACUUGAGUUAGAUAGAGGCGAGUGGAAUUCCAUGUGUAGCGGUAAAAUGCGUAAAUAUAUGGAGGAACACCAGAGGCGUAGGCGGCUCGCUGGGUCUUAACUGACGCUGAGGCACGAAAGCGUGGGGAGCAAACAGGAUUAGAUACCCUGGUAGUCCACGCCGUAAACGAUGAGUACUAAGUGUCGGGUUAAACCGGUACUGAAGUUAACACAUUAAGUACUCCGCCUGAGUAGUACGUACGCAAGUAUGAAACUUAAAGGAAUUGACGGGACUCCGCACAAGCGGUGGAUCAUGUUGUUUAAUUCGAAGAUACCCGAAAAACCUUACCAGGUCUUGACAUGUUUGUGCAAAAUGAUAGUAAUAUCGUGGAGGUUACCAGAAACACAGGUGGUGCAUGGUUGUCGUCAGCUCGUGUCGUGAGAUGUUAGGUUAAGUCCUAAAACGAGCGAAACCCUUAUCGUUAGUUGCCAGCACGUUAUGGUGGGGACUUUAACGAGACUGCCAAUGAUAAAUUGGAGGAAGGUGAGGAUCACGUCAAAUCAGCAUGCCCCUUAUGACCUGGGCUACAAACGUGAUACAAUGGCUGUUACAAAGGGUAGCUGAA